rnacentral:rRNA from 1 species
UACGGGGGGAGCAAGCGUUGUUCGGAUUUACUGGGCGUAAAGGGCGCGUAGGCGGCCAGCGCAAGUCAGUUGUGAAAUCUCCGGGCUUAACUCGGAAAGGUCAACUGAUACUGCGCGGCUAGAGUGCAGAAGGGGCAACUGGAAUUCUCGGUGUAGCGGUGAAAUGCGUAGAUAUCUGGAGGAAUACCGGUGGCGAAGGCGGCAUCCUGGACCGGCAUUGACGCUGAGUGAGCGAAAGCCAGGGGAGCAAACGGG